CCUACGGGAGGCAGCAGUGGGGAAUAUUGGACAAUGGGCGAAAGCCUGAUCCAGCAAUGCCGCGUGAGUGAAGAAGGCCUUCGGGUUGUAAAGCUCUUUUACCCGGGAAGAUAAUGACUGUACCGGGAGAAUAAGCCCG
rnacentral:rRNA from 1 species